GAACACCAUGUGAACAGCACUUGGACAUGGGUUAGCCGAUCCUGAGAGACAGGUUAAAUUCCAUCGGAUUGGAGCUUUGGCUCUGUUUCUCGAAAGGGAAGCUGGUUAGUAUUCCAGCGCCGAGACGUGGAUAAUAUGUGGCAACACAAGUGAACUCGGACACGCCAUAGGGGACCCCAGGAAGCGUUGUCUUUUCUUUUUAACAGUUCGACUUACCCUGGAAUCAGAUCAUCUGGAGAUAGGGUUUUCGAACUGGAAUAGCACCUUGUCUAACAGGGUGUCUGGAGUGUUCUCGCUGGCCCUUGAAAAUCCGAGGGAUAGAUUUAUUCGCACUAGGUUCUAUCCAUAAAUCUAUCUAAU
rfam:Perkinsus marinus ATCC 50983 gcontig_1104296601332, whole genome shotgun sequence.